AUUGAACGCUGGCGGCAGGCCUAACACAUGCAAGUCGAGCGGAUGAAGGGAGCUUGCUCCUGGAUUCAGCGGCGGACGGGUGAGUAAUGCCUAGGAAUCUGCCAGGUAGUGGGGGAUAACGUCCGGAAACGGGCGCUAAUACCGCAUACGUCCUGAGGGAGAAAGUGGGGGAUCUUCGGACCUCACGCUAUCAGAUGAGCCUAGGUCGGAUUAGCUAGUUGGUGGGGUAAAGGCCUACCAAGGCGACGAUCCGUAACUGGUCUGAGAGGAUGAUCAGUCACACUGGAACUGAGACACGGUCCAGACUCCUACGGGAGGCAGCAGUGGGGAAUAUUGGACAAUGGGCGAAAGCCUGAUCCAGCCAUGCCGCGUGUGUGAAGAAGGUCUUCGGAUUGUAAAGCACUUUAGGUUGGGAGGAAGGGCAGUAAGUUAAUACCUUGCUGUUUUGACGUUACCAACAGAAUAAGCACCGGCUAACUUCGUG
rnacentral:rRNA from 1 species